UACAGAGGGUGCGAGCGUUAAUCGGAAUUACUGGGCGUAAAGCGCGCGUAGGUGGUUCGUUAAGUUGGAUGUGAAAGCCCCGGGCUCAACCUGGGAACUGCAUCCAAAACUGGCGAGCUAGAGUACGGUAGAGGGUGGUGGAAUUUCCUGUGUAGCGGUGAAAUGCGUAGAUAUAGGAAGGAACACCAGUGGCGAAGGCGACCACCUGGACUGAUACUGACACUGAGGUGCGAAAGCGUGGGGAGCAAACAGG
rnacentral:rRNA from 1 species